AUUGAACGCUGGCGGCAGGCCUAACACAUGCAAGUCGAACGAGUGGCGGACGGGUGAGUAAUGUCUGGGAAACUGCCUGAUGGAGGGGGAUAACUACUGGAAACGGUAGCUAAUACCGCAUACCAUCAGAUGUGCCCAGAUGGGAUUAGCUUGUAGGUGGGGUAACGUCUCACCAAGGCUACGAUCCCUAGCUGGUCUGAGAGGAUGACCAGCAACACGGGAACUGAGAUACGGUUCAGGCUCCUACGGUGUGCAGCAGUGGGGAAGAUUGCACGAUGGGCGCAGGCCUGAGGCAGCCAUGACGCGUGUAUGAAGAAGGCCUUCGGGUUGUAAAGUACUUUCAGCGGGGAGGCGUUACCCGCAGAAGAAGCACCGGCUAACACCGUGCCAGCCGCCGCGGUAAUAC
rnacentral:rRNA from 1 species